rnacentral:tRNA from 1 species
GCGGGUGUAGCUCAGUUGGUAGAGCUUCAGCCUUCCAAGCUGAUUGUCGCCGGUUCGAACCCGGUCGCCCGCU